AAAGAUUAAGCCAUGCAUGUCUAAGUACG
rnacentral:piRNA from 1 species